CACGUAGGGGGCAAGCGUUGUCCGGAUUUAUUGGGCGUAAAGAGCUCGUAGGUGGUUCGGUAGGUCGGAUGUGAAAUCUCCAGGCUCAACCUGGAGGGGUCAUUCGAUACUGCCGUGACUAGAGGUCGGUAGGGGAGUGUGGAAUUCCUGGUGUAGCGGUGAAAUGCGCAGAUAUCAGGAGGAACACCGGUGGCGAAGGCGGGUCUCUGGGCCGAUACUGACGCUGAGGAGCGAAAGCGUGGGGAGCGAACAGG
rnacentral:rRNA from 1 species